CCGGCGGUAUUCGAAUUGAAGCGGUUUCAGUGAAUAAAACUGGUUCAAUGCUUUCCCUCCAUUUCUAAAUUCACAUGGAGCCACGCGAUUUCUACGAGCAAUAUGACUCCACUUCUACUUUCUCAAAGUUUCCUUCGUUGAUCGUGAUUCUGAAUCGUUGAGGUCGGAUUUAUAUUCAAUCGACGCAUUGAGAGUUGUGAAAUUCAACAGAGAGUCGAGAAAGGUCGAGAAUAGCUACUACUCUACACUCCUAGUACGCAGAAGUUCAAUCUAUAUUUUCUUUAUACUCGCGGUUUUGAUUUCUUUCCCCUUAGCGGUGACGAGGCUCUUAAACUUUUUCAAGAGGAUCUUGCGCUAUUAAAUAUUGCACAAGCUACAACCAAUAAAGAUAACCGCUCCAAGCAAAGAUUAAAGCACAUUGCUGGUGCAAAAAGUUAUGCAAGGAUUCGGAAGGGAAUAAAGAAAUCUCACAUACUGAGGUAUUUAUUGCGACUCAUAGGAAGAAAGAUGGGGCACCUGUUGAUCCACAAUCUGCUGAGGAAAACACAAAAUGCUAUUUGUUGACUAGCCACUGAGGGAUGUUUGCCUCUGUAGCAGAAGCAACUGUUAUAAGUACCAACCCAUCAAAAAAUGUAGGUGGCACCCAACUUGGUCCAAGAUGGACUGAGGUUGUGAUUGACAUUCCUAUUAUCAAUGAUGCACCUCUAGUACGUCCACAUGGACGAUAUAGAACAAUUGGAAGUGCUGUUGGGGUACCAAUUGCUUGGUUUUAUGGAUUUACUGAAACAAUUUCUCAAGUGGAUAUGUAGUAGGAGCAUGGGAUAUCACUGGAUCCCCUGUUUUGUUUUGAAUCCCCGCUUGUCUUGCUAGAGAACAAUUGGAUUUUUUAUUCUGUAUUUUAUUUAAGAUGCUUAUAAAAAAUAUUUUUUUUUUAUAUUAUAUGAUUUUGUUCAAGUUUCUAUCUUUUCUUUUGGUUGGAAAGGAAUGAUCAGUCAUAAGGAUAAUUCAUUGACAAAACUGCCAUUAUCAUUCGGUUUGAUAUUAUUGCAAGAAAGCUUAUUUAGUAUAUUAGUUUUUUGGUUCAGCAUUUUUUUUAAUCAAUAACUGGUUGUUGAGGAACAACACCUCCUUCUGUGCAGUACUCAUGUACCAAAAGUGGGUGGGAUGUUUCCAUUGAAAUUGUUAUUUGCUAAAUUUAUUACAGAAGCUAGUGACUUCCCAAAAUUUGAAGGAAUCUUGCCCUCGAACUGGUUGUUGUUGAGGAAGAUGGUGUCCAGUCUCUUGUUGAAAAGCUCUUUCGGGAUGGGUCCUAAGAAGUAGUUGAAUCUUAGGUCCAAGUAAAUGAGGUUUGGAAUGAGGAGAGUCAUAUGGCAGAAGAUAUGUUUGCUCAAGUUACCUUUGAUAGACAAGAAGAUUCCGAUACAGUCAUGGAUACUUCUGAUUCUGAACAUAAUGAUGUGAAGUAUAUGAUGGAACAAAAUACUAACAUAGUGGGGAAAGAGUUACUAAUUAAAUCCCAUGAAAGACCUCAUUGGUAUCUUUCCAAUGUAGAGAUGCAGAUUAACUCUAGGAGGAUUCCCAUAUUCCCAUUUGGAAGAAAUCUAAGGUACUUUUAAUUCGAGUUGUAAGAUACCCUAACAUGUCAUUGUGUUAUGUUCUGGUUAUGAUUCUUUCACAUUUUUCUAGAUUUCCUUCUAUAUGAUGAUUCCCAUGAGGACCAAUGAGAGGUGGCCUACUAAAGAUUAUGCCGAUGGGGAGAUUGAAAUUAAGAAUUUAAUUACUCUGACUGGUUUGAUUCCUUGCCUUGCAAGGUUUGAUAUGGUAGAAGUAUUGAAGUUUAUGACAAUAUUCUGUAAAACUUGCAGAUACACAAGAUUCAUGGCUCAAUUAGAAGAUAACAACGCUGGGAAGAAACACAUUCAAAUUGAUAUCAGUUCAUACACUGUUUGCCCAUGGUGUUUUGUUGGCAAAAGAAAUCUGGAUAAAGCUAUAACUUCAUCAAAGGAUAGAUUUGAUUUUGAGAUUAGAUCCAUUUUUCCUUAAUCUUUCUGCCCCAAAAGGAGUUAACAAGGCAGAAUUUUACACAACGAAGUUUGGAUCUCGGGCUGAACAAAUUAAAGCUUGGAUGACGGAGAUAUUUCGGGGUUAUGGCCUUGAUUAUGACAUGUCUGGGCUUACGUAAGCAUGCAAUGUGGCUUAAUCGUAGAUACCAUUAUGUAGGAGAAAGAUGGCCUUUGCCAGAGUUUCAAUUAACCAUGAUUCAAUAAUUCAGGGGGAAUAUUUUGGACACUCACAGGCUCGUAGCAUUUGCCAGACACCAGGGUCCUGAUAAGCAGCGUGCUCUUGUGGAGGAAUUCGGUUUGGGCUACUUCACACGGGGAAAGUUAUAUAGGAGAUCGGUAUGUGUGUAUUGUUCUACCGGUAUAAACUUGGUACUAUGAACGGAUGUUUUCCUUAUAAUGUGAACUACAAGCUGUUGCACUCACUGUUUUCUCCGAAGCAAUAUUGACCCUAUUGGACCAAGCAUGGGAGCUAUCAAAAUUGAUACUUGGAUACUUAUU